UACGUAGGGGGCAAGCGUUGUCCGGAUUUAUUGGGCGUAAAGAGCGUGUAGGCGGCUAGGUAGGUCCGUUGUGAAAACUCGAGGCUCAACCUCGAGACGUCGAUGGAAACCAUCUAGCUAGAGUCCGGAAGAGGAGAGUGGAAUUCCUGGUGUAGCGGUGAAAUGCGCAGAUAUCAGGAAGAACACCCGUGGCGAAGGCGGCUCUCUGGUACGUGACUGACGCUGAGACGCGAAAGCGUGGGGAGCGA
rnacentral:rRNA from 1 species